rnacentral:tRNA from 1 species
GCGGGGUUAGCAUAAUGGAAAUGCAGUAGGCUUUGAACCUAUUGAUAGUUGUUCGAAUCAACUACCCUGUGCCA